AUCACCCACAGCUGCGGCUGUUGAGGUGAUGGACGUGUGUGGAGAAGAUGAGGCUGAGUGUAACUGACUGAUUGAUUUACAGUUAUGUGUGACACUGAAGGAUGUGGGGCCCAGAUGUGAUCCAAGAAAAGCUGACCCCAAGGACUGUGGGGCUCUCUAUGGUUUAUGAGGCUGUUAACUCUUACUCUGUGUUCCCCAAAAUAGAGCUCUACAUGACCCCACAGUGUGUGACAGGGCUCUGAGUGACACGAAUGACAUGGGCUGGAAUGGGCUCCGAGGUCUGAUAGAGGUGCAAAUCCAUUUCUGUUUCCGCCAUUGUCCCUCCAGCACUUCAUCCUGGCAGGUUAGCAGGCAGGUUUCAGGGAAUCCGAGGCCGGGAACAAGUGUGGGUGUCUCUCUGUUGCUACAUCUGAUGGGGAUGCACUCAACACUCUGCUGUUGCUAUGGUUACUUCCUCUGGGUGUGGACAAGGAUGAGAAAUAUCUUGGGAGCAUAUCUGUUUGUGCAACAAUUAUAUUGCAUAUGACCACAGAGUGGACACUGCAAAUCAAGAGGCUUUUUUACCUGACUGGAUUAUGGGGUGUCGACCAGCUCAGGUGCAUGUAAAUGAAGGCGACAUCCAGCUGGAGAGCGGCGCGAUGAAGAAGUAGACUGUGGUCUGACAUUGACAGAUAGGGUGUGUCUCCAGCUAUCGACUUGGGCCCCGCCUCUACACCACGUCGCACUGCCCUUUGAAAGGUGCCAGAAAGAUGUGCCCUAUAACUCAGCAGCCGAUUGGGGCAUAAGCGGGAGGAGCAGGAGAACUGGCUGCUGCUGAUAAAGCUUCGCCCUUGAGAGGUGAGGAAGGGACAGGAAAGGUGAGGAGGGGACAGACAUUCAUUUGGACAUUUACCAGCAGCUCUAAGGAUUAAUUCAACAUGCAUCUGCAAUCCCAUAAUUCCCAGAGCUCAUCAUGAUUAGAGAGUUUUCCAUUUACACGUGCCAGCAUUUCCUAUGUGAAAUUUCUGUAGUUUGGGGAAUGAACAUAGGAUAGGAUUGUUUUGUUUAAAUAGUGACGAGGAAAGCCAAUUUGUGAAAGCGGAGAUGUUAAAAAAAAAUCAGGAACAAAAAAGUCUUGCACACUAUCGGUCAAAAUAGCUUUAUUCGCUGCGAUGUUUGGUCGUUUGACCUUCAUCAGACGGGACACUUUCUUUUGCCUUUUUGUUUUUUGUCUUUUUGUUCUUGAUUUUUGAUCUUUGUUCUUUUUUUUUUUUUGGUCUUUUCUCGCAUAUAUCUAUUACCUUGCAGAUGUGCAAGGGUAAU